UACGUAGGGUCCGAGCGUUGUCCGGAAUUACUGGGCGUAAAGAGCUCGUAGGUGGUUUGUCGCGUUGUCCGUGAAAACUCACAGCUCAACUGUGGGCGUGCGGGCGAUACGGGCAGACUGGAGUACUGCAGGGGAGACUGGAAUUCCUGGUGUAGCGGUGGAAUGAGCAGAUAUCAGGAGGAACACCGGUGGCGAAGGCGGGUCUCUGGGCAGUAACUGACGCUGAGGAGCGAAAGCGUGGGGAGCGAACAGG
rnacentral:rRNA from 1 species